rnacentral:ncRNA from 2 species
UAACGUCUUCAGGGCGGGGUGCGAUUCCCCACCGGCGGUAGGUCGCCGGCAGCCGAUCCAUCGGGACGGCAGGCCACGACAAGCCCGCGAGCGCUCCGCUAUCGGCACAAGCCGGCGUCGGGGGUCAGCAGAUCCGGUCGGAUUCCGGAGCCGACGGUCACAGUCCGGAUGAAAGAAGACGGCU